GUCUGUGAUAGUUUGUCCCUUUUAUUAAACAUUCCUGCUGUUAUAAUUUGUACAGCAUUUGUUGUUUCUUAAACUGUUGCACUGUCCAAAUACCCACACUUGCCAUCUUUUCACUUGACCACUUGAUUACUUAUUUGAAGUCUUUCCUGUAUUUGGCCUAGUGUUCGAGUGAGCAUGAUGACCACGAGUGUGUGUCGAACUUUUCAUGACCUGAUGACUGUGUUUCCCAAUCCUGAUCCUGGAGAACCCCAGCACUGCACGGUUUUGGCGUCUCUCUUAUCUGCCUUGGAGUCUUCACUGAUGAGCUGAUGAGUUGAAUCAGGAUUGUUUGAGGAUAACACUGCAGUUCUCCAUCAUGCACAAGGACUCACCUCGGUAACUCUUUUUCCCCCGCACACACAGAAAUGGUCCCUGGAUCAGUGAUUAGACUUUGCAGUGGUUUGAUUUUUGCAGAAGAUGUAACUUUGUUUUAUUUAUAAGCUCAUAAUGAAUACAUUACAGAACCAGUGAUGAAAACAAUAGUUAAAAAUAGUAUUUUUCGUAUUGAUAAAGCAUUUUGUUCUCUUUUUCAAGCUUCAUACAGUGAACUUUUUAGACUUUAAUUAAGAGUUUUAGUAAAGGAGAUAUUCAUACACAGUCAUCCCCUAGCUCCAGUCAUGAAGUGAAUUCAUGAUGUUAUUGUCAAAGCUAGCAGGUGUUUGUUUUCCUGAACACUUUCUCUGUCUUCCAUUGUUCAGACAAUCAGUGUUUAUUUGAUGCUGUGCUGAUUGAGUUUUAUAGAUGAUAUUGCACACUUGACAUGCAUGUCUUCAUGGUGUUUUUUUUGUGAGUUUGAAACAUUUACAUUGUGUUGUAUAACAUUUUGGUCAAUUAAAUUUUUUUAAUAAAAUUGAUCUUUUUCCAGUGUUCUCUGAAAGA